CCUACGGGAGACUGCAGUGAGGAAUAUUGGUCAAUGGGCGAGAGCCUGAACCAGCCAAGUCGCGUGAGGGAGUACUGCCCUAUGGGUUGUAAACCUCUUUUGUCGGGGAGCAAAAGCCGGACGUGUCCGGCUGUGAGAGUACCCGAAGAAAAAGCAACGGCUCACUCCGUGCCAGCAGCCGCGGUAAUACGGAGGAUGCGAGCGUUAUCCGGAUUUAUUGGGUUGAAAGGGUGCGCAGGCGGAUUUUUAAGUCAGCGGUCACAUCGUGGGGCUCAACCCCAUCCAGCCGUUGAAACUGGGGCUCUCGCGUGUGCGAGGGGUCUGCGGAAUGCGUGGUGUAGCGGUGAAAUGCAUAGAUAUCACGCAGAACCCCGAUUGCGAAGGCAGCAUACCGGUGCACAACUGACGCUCAGGCACGAACGCGUGGGUAUCGAACAGGAUUAGAUACCCUGGUAGUC
rnacentral:rRNA from 1 species